AGUGAACGCUGGCGGCAGGCCUAAUACAUGCAAGUCGAACGGCAGCACAGCAGAGCUUGCUCUGUGGGUGGCGAGUGGCGGACGGGUGAGGAAUACAUGGGAAUCUGCCCAGUCGUGGGGGAUAACGUAUGGAAACGUACGCUAAUACCGCAUGCGCCCUACGGGGGAAAGCCGGGGACCGCAAGGCCUGGCGCGAUUGGAUGAGCCCAUGUUCGAUUAGCUAGUUGGCGGGGUAAAGGCCCACCAAGGCGACGAUCGAUAGCUGGUCUGAGAGGAUGAUCAGCCACACUGGAACUGAGACACGGUCCAGACUCCUACGGGAGGCAGCAGUAGGGAAUAUUGGACAAUGGGGGCGAACCCUGAUCCAGCCAUGCCGCGUGAGUGAAGAAGGCCCUCGGGUUGUAAAGCUCUUUUGUUCCGGAAAGAAAAGACAAUCGGUUAAUACCCGGUUCGUUCUGACGGUACCGG
rnacentral:rRNA from 1 species